ACCCACUCAAUGCUACGAGAAGCCCAAGCCCUGUGGAGAGACCAUGGAAGUGGCUUGGGUCAAUAGUCCCAGCAGAGCUGAGCCUUCAAGUCUUCCUAGCCCAGGCACCAGAGAUGGGAGAGAGGAACUCUCCAGGUGAUAACACAGCCUGCAUCGCGAAUCCAGGAGAAAAGGAUGGUCUUCCCAGGAAAUGGUGCCAGAAUAACUCGCUAUUCAUAUGGAAGAAAAUGAAAAUGAUUCCGUAUGUCAUCCCACACAUUAAAAAUCCAUUCCAGAUGGAUUAAGGAUUUAAAUAUAAAUGGGAUGCCCGGAAGAAGCCUUGCAUCUGGAUAUCAGCCACAGACACGGAGAUACUCAAAGAAGCAUUGUGCACCUGGAGAGAAACCAGAUCGCCAUUAACAAUCGAACAUAGAAACAUUGGCUGGGGGCGGUGGCUCACGCCUGUAAUUCCAGCACUUUGGGAAGCCGAGGCCGGGCGGAUCACUUGAA
rnacentral:lncRNA from 1 species